UGCUACUACCACUCACUGACUCACAGUUCCAUUCAAAGAAAGAAACACAAGGCCACGGGUAAGAGAGCCAUGGAGGCGACGGCGCUGAGCGUGGGCAAGUCCGUGCUGGAUGGAGCGCUUGGCUACGCCAAAUCCGCUGUCGCGGAGGAGGUGGCCUUGCAGCUCGGGAUCCAGCGCGAUCAUGCUUUCAUCAGGGACGAGCUCGCGAUGAUGCAAGCCUUUAUGAGGGCUGCGCACGACGAGCGGGACAACCAUGACGUGCUCAUGACCUGGGUGAAGCAAGUCCGAGACGUGGCCUACGAUGCGGAGGACUGCCUCCAGGAUUUCUCUGUUCAUCUCCACAAGCCAUCUUGGUGGCGCCUUCCUCGCACGUUGCAAGAGCGGCGCCGCAUCGCCAAGCAGAUGAAGGAGCUGAGGGCCAGAGUUGAGGACGUGAGCCAGAGGAACCUGCGCUACCAGCUCAUCAAGAGCGCUGGCUCCAAGCCGGUCACUUCUGCUGAGCAGUCAAGCAUUACAGCUGCAGCGAUAUUCGGCAUCGAUGAUGCACGGCGUGCUGCGAAGAAUGACAACUCAAAAGUGGACCUGGUCCACCUGAUCAACACACCGGGCGAGGAUCUUAGAGUGAUCGCAGUGUGGGGAACCAGUGGUGAUCUUGGGCAGACAUCCAUCAUCAACGCGGCCUACGAGAAUCCAGAUAUCAAAAAGAAGUUUUCGUGCCGGGCAUGGGUAAGGAUCUCGCAUCCCUUUAAUCCGAAUGACUUCAUCCAAAGCUUAGUGAGGCAGUUCCGAUCAGCCGUGGGGGUCGAUGUUCUGUUGGAGACCAAGAAGACAGGAAAAGAGUUGGCAGAGGAGUUCUCUGGAUACCUAAGCGAGAAUAGUUUCCUGAUUGUGCUUAAUAACCUGUCCACCUUUGAAGAGUGGAAUGGGGUUAAAGCAUGUCUGCCGCCGAACCACAAGAAAGGGAGUCGAAUCAUAGUUUGCAGCCUACAAGUUGAAGUUGCAAGCUUGUGUGCAGGGCAAGAAUGCCAAGCGUUGGAGCUUAAGCAGUUCUCCGCUCAUCAGACUAUUUAUGCUUUCUACGAGAAGGAUUGUCAAGAUCAAAUAAAAAUACCAGUGGUAGUGUCCAGCUCAGAUGAAUCAAUAAGUACUAAUGUAGCACUGAAACAUCAAUCUAAAGGUGGCAAUGAGAUAAAGGUAUUCACAAAAAGCCUUACUCACAUCAAAACUAUGGCAAGUGCUUUGGAGGAAUCACAACUUAUUGGUCGGCAGAAAGAAAAAACUGAUAUCAUCAACCUCAUUUCAAAUCCAUCUAAUCAAGAGUUUGCGGUGAUCUCAGUAUGGGGAAUGGGUGGUCUUGGGAAAACUACUCUGAUCAAAGAUGUUUAUGAAAGUCAAAAGCUUGUUGGUGUGUUUGAGAAGCAUGCUUGUGUUACAGUGAUGCGCCCUUUCAUUCUUAAGGAGUUCCUGAAGAGCUUAAUUAUGCAACUAAAUGUACAAUCUUCCGAAAAGAAAGGAGCAAUAGAUUUUGCACAUGGUGCAAGAAACACAGCCCCAAUAAUGAUGGGAGUUGAAGCAUUAAUAAAAGAGUUAGCUAGGCUUCUUGAAGGGAAGAAGUGCUUGAUUGUUCUUGAUGAUCUUUCAUCAAUAGAAGAAUGGGAUAAUAUAUUUGGAAGCUUCCCUAAAUUAGAUAGUUCAUGCCGGAUUAUAGUGACCACAAGGGAAGAGAGUAUAGCAAAACAUUGUUCAGAGAAACAAGAAAACAUAUACAAGCUCAAAGUUCUUGACUGCAAGGAUGCACAAGACCUCUUCACAAGAAAGGUAUUUAAGGAGGACAAAGAUUUGGACAAGCAUCCUGAAUUGAUUGAAGAAGCAAAAAUGAUCUUGAAGAAGUGCAAUGGUCUUCCCCUUGCAAUAGUUACCAUCGGUGGCUUCUUGGCGAAGCAACAAAAAGUAGCCGUAGAGUGGAGGAAAUUGAACGAGCAUAUUAGUGCUGAAUUGGAAAUGAACCUGGAGCUUGGGGCCAUAAAAACAAUUCUUGGUAAAAGUUAUGAUGGUCUUCCAUAUCAUCUUAAGUCUUGUUUCCUAUAUACAUCCAUCUUCCCUGAAGAUCACAAGAUUAGACGAAGACGUUUGAUACGACGGUGGAGUGCAGAAGGUUACUCAAGGGAGAUUCGAGAUAAGUCCCCAGAAGAAGUAGUUGACAACUACUUCAUGGAACUAAUAGAGAGGAGCAUGAUCCUACCUUCUCAGCUAUCAGUUAAUAGUAGAAAAGGAAUUGACUCUUGCCAAGUCCAUGAUCUCAUGCGUGAGAUUAGCAUCUCAAAGUCAACAGAAGAAAAUCUCGUUUUUAGAAUGGAGGAAGGUUGCAGCUCAAACGCCCAAGGCACAGUUCGCCACCUUGUCAUAAGCACCAACUGGGAAGCAGAUAAGAGUGAGUUUGAGAACAAAGUGGAUCUGUCCCGCAUACGCUCGUUAACAGUGUUUGGGAAGUGGAGGUCCUUUUUCAUUUCUGAGAAGAUGAGGUUCUUGCGUGUGCUGGACUUGGAAGGCACGUCAGGUCUGGUUAGUCAUCACCUAGAGCAUAUUGGGAAGCUUCUUCACCUCAGAUACCUUUCUCUAAGGGGAUGUGAUAAUAUUUUUCACCUAUCAGAUUCGUUGGGUAAUCUAAAGCAACUAGAAACACUAGAUAUUUCAGAGACAGCGAUUUUAAAGCUGCCCAAGACCAUCACCAAGCUCAAGAAGCUACAAUAUCUUCGUGCUGGGGCUGUUGGAAAGGACGAUGAUUCAUUAAAUGCGUUUGAAGAACUGCCAAAAGUAGUGAAUAACAGGCCAUGCAUUUGUAUGGGUUGGUUGCUAGGAUUUUGCAUGGCAUGUUGCGCACCUCAACUUCUUAAAGAGGUUAUGGAUGUGGAUAGUGACAUGAAUAGGUGUGAUGUAUGCACUCAGUGUUGCUGCUGGUUCUUCCCUAUUCUGAUGGCAAGCGAAGGUCCAACUUGGAUGCCAAGAGGGAUAGGGAAACUAAAAUCCCUGCGCACAUUGGGUCUUGUGAAUCUUGCAUGGGACAAAGCAAUUCUACGGGACAUAAAAGGACUGACCCAGUUGCGCAAGUUAGCUGUGACUGGCAUCAACAAGGAAAACAGCCAGGAGUUCUGUUCAGUCAUUGCCAAUCUCAGCUGCCUGGAAUCUUUGCUAGUGCAGGCAUGGGGGAUGCCAGGUUUGCAUGGCUGUUUGGAGGGCUUGGCCUCCGCUCCAAAAACACUCCAGAGCCUCAAGAUAUACGGUAAUUUGGUCAAAUUGCCAGGGGUCCAGGGGCUCCCGAAUCUUGUGAAGUUGGUUCUAAGGAGCUCUAGAAUACUGGAGCACGAACCUGCACUCCAAGUUCUUGGGAAGCUACCGAACCUGGUCAGCUUACGUCUGUGGGCGAAGUCGUUCCAGGUUGACGACCUCCGUUUCACCUUCCAUCCGGAGGCAUUCCCGAGUCUGAUAGUGCUGGAGCUAAAUGACAUAGAUGGCCUGAAAUCGGUGGAGUUUGAAGAAGGGGCAAUGCUUCAGCUUGAGCGGCUGGAUUUUCGUGGCAAGCUUGAAGAAACCAACACAGGGAUGUUUUCCGGGCUACCAUUGCUCCGGAGCCUCAAGGAAUUUAUGCUGGACAGCAAAACUUAUAAGCACACUUUCAUGGAAGACCUGCAGGGCCAGCUUGGUGCCAAUCCAAAUGGACCCGCUUUGAAGAGGUGGUGAGGUGCUGCAGAGUCAGCGUGGCGAUCGUCGUGCCAGGUUGUUGCUGUUGAAACAGAAGGUGGUGUUUCCUUGACAUGUGAACAGGUUAAUGUAUACAAGAGUUUCCGUCAAACCUUGGUUGGGCAGGUUAUGGUGACUGACACUGUAUCUGAUCUGUUGAUUACUGUGGAGGGGCCCACGUGCGAUGAUUUCCAUACGAUAUUUGAGGAGUUGCGUGGCACUGAGGCUCUAACCAAAAAACGAUUUGCUGAUUAUCUUAUGCCAGAUGUACUUGUUGAAUGGCAUGCUAACAUACUUGUUGAAUGGCAUGCUAACAUCCUGCUCUACACCAGAGGCUUACUUUUGUAUCCACAGGUGUUUGUGUUUUGGCUAUGGCUAGGCGUGUAGAGCAGGCCUGAUAUGGAUGCAUUGUUUUGAAUUUUCAUCCUUUUACUUGGAUUUGAAUUAUUAUGUACAACCAGACAUACCUGAUACCUUAGCAAGCAGGCAAACACAUUCUACCA